AACGAACGCUGGCGGCAUGCCUAACACAUGCAAGUCGAACGAGACCUUCGGGUCUAGUGGCGCACGGGUGCGUAACGCGUGGGAACCUGCCCUUAGGUUCGGAAUAACUCCCCGAAAGGGGUGCUAAUACCGGAUAAUGUCUUCGGACCAAAGAUUUAUCGCCUUUGGAUGGGCCCUCGUUGGAUUAGCUAGUUGGUAGGGUAAAAGCCUACCAAGGCGACGAUCCAUAGCUGGUCUGAGAGGAUGAUCAGCCACGCUGGGACUGAGACACGGCCCAGACUCCUACGGGAGGCAGCAGUGGGGAAGAUUGGACAAUGGGCGAAGGCCUGAUCCAGCAAUGCCGCGUGAGUGAUGAAGGCCUUAGGGUUGUAAAGCUCUUUUAGCCGGGAUGAUAAUGACAGUACCGGGAGAAUAAGCUCCGGCUAACUCCGUG
rnacentral:rRNA from 1 species